UACGAAGGGGGCUAGCGUUGUUCGGAAUUACUGGGCGUAAAGCGCACGUAGGCGGAUUUGCAAGUUGGAGGUGAAAUCCCGGGGCUCAACUCCGGAACUGCCUUCAAAACUGCAAGUCUGGAGGUCAGGAGAGGCGAGUGGAAUACCGAGUGUAGAGGUGAAAUUCGUAGAUAUUCGGUGGAACACCAGUGGCGAAGGCGACUCGCUGGACUGAUACUGACGCUGAGGUGCGAAAGCGUGGGGAGCAAACAGG
rnacentral:rRNA from 1 species